rnacentral:pre_miRNA from 1 species
AAGGCUGCAAUAAACAUUCAUUGCUGUCGGUGGGUUUCCAUGAGAAUAACUCACUGAUCAAUGAAUGCAGACUGCGGUUCAAACCCCUCAG